UUCUGGCUCAGGAUGAACGCUAGCUACAGGCUUAACACAUGCAAGUCGAGGGGCAGCAUGAUCAAAGCUUGCUUGAUUGAUGGCGACCGGCGCACGGGUGAGUAACGCGUAUCCAACCUUCCCCUUAGUAGGGCAUAGCCCGGCGAAAGUCGGAUUAAUACCCUAUGUUAUUCGUCGAGGACAUCUGAAGUGAAUCAAAGAUUUAUCGCUAAGGGAUGGGGAUGCGUCUGAUUAGGUUGUUGGCGGGGUAACGGCCCACCAAGCCAUCGAUCAGUAGGGGUUCUGAGAGGAAGGUCCCCACAUUGGUACUGAGACACGGACCAAACUCCUACGGGAGGCAGCAGUGAGGAAUAUUGGUCAAUGGGCGAGAGCCUGAACCAGCCAAGUAGCGUGCCAGGAUGACUGCCCUAUGGGUUGUAAACUGCUUUUAUACGGGGAUAAAGUGAGGUAUGCAUACCUUUUUGUAGGUACCGUAUGAAUAAGGACCGGCUAAUUCCGUGCCAGCAGCAGC
rnacentral:rRNA from 1 species